ensembl:lncRNA
UAUGGAUUGAAUAAGGCUCAUAAUAACACUCGUGGGGAGACUGAUUACAGUUGCGUGUUCAUCAGAUCAUAGAAAAGAGUUACCACCCAUUAGAUGCUCUUAGUGGACCAAUGGUGAAAGGGGAAACAAUCAAGGGAUGUGGACUCAAUGCAUAAUGGACCUGAGCCCUAGGACCAUACCUCAGGACUACCUGACAUGACUCCUUGCUGUCCCCAGUCCACCUGGCCGUGCUGCUGCUCCAGUUUCAACUGUUCUGCCUUAUUAUUAUUGGACAAUGCUGGUCAUUUAUGAACAUUUGUACAUCUUGGCAAUGUUCUGUUAUAAUCUCCACCCGGCACAGCCAGAAGAGGACUGGCCACCCCACAUAGCCUGGUUCCUCCCUAGGUUUCUUCCUAGGUUUUGGCCUUUCUAGGGAGUUUUUCCUAGCCACUGUGCUUCUACACCUGCAUUGCUUGCUGUUUGGGGUUUUAGGCUGGGUUUCUGUACAGCACUUUGAGAUAUCAGCUGAUGUACGAAGGGCUAUAUAAAUACAUUUGAUUUGAUUUGAAGAGGCGACUCCGGGAAAGUACAUGCCUCGCUCUGGCCUUCUAGGCAGAGUUGCAAAGAAAAAGCCAUACCUGCCAGUUGAGGACUUGCGAGGCGUCUGUUUCUCAAACUAGACACUUUAAUGUACUUGUCCUCUUGCUCAGUUGUGCAACAGGCCACCCACUCCUUUCUAUUCUGGUUAGGGCCAGUUUGUGCUGUUCUGUGAAGGGAGUAGUACACAGCGCUGUAUGAGAUCUUCAGUUUCUUGGCAAUUUCUCACAUGGAAUAGCCUUCAUUUCUCAGAAUUUGUAUUUUUUAUUUAACUAGGCAAGUCAGUUAAGUUAAGAACAAAUUCUUAUUUACAAUGACUGCUUAGGAACAGUGGGUUAACUGCCUUGUUCCGGGGCAGAACGACAGAUCGUGGAUUCAAUCUAGCAACCUUUCAGUUACUGGCCCAACGCUCUAACCACUAGGCUACCUGCCACCCCUAGAAUAGACUUACGAGUUUCAGAGGAAAGUCUUUGUUUCUGGCCAUUUUGAGCCUGUAAUCGAACCCACAAAUGCUGAUGCUCCAGAUACUCAGCUAGUCUAAAGAAGGCAGGAUUUAUUGCGUCUUUAAUCAGCACAACAGUUUUCAGCUGUGCUAACAAUUGCAAAAGGUUUUUCUAAUGAUCAAUUAGCCUUUUAAAAGGAUAAACUUGGAUUAGCUAACACAAUGUGCCAUUGGAACACAGGAGUGAUGGUUGCUGAUAAUGGGCCUCUGUACGCCUUUGUAGAUAUUCCAUUAAAAAUCAGCCGUUUCCAGCUACAAAUAGUCAUUUACAACAUUAACAAUGUCUACACUGUAUUUCUGAUCAAGUUGAUAUUUUAAUGGACAAAAAUGUGCUUUUCUUUCAGAAACAAGGACAUUUCUAAGUGACCCCAAACUUUUGAACGGUAGCGUAUAUAACAUUCUAUUCCUAAAUUUUGAAUCCAGCAUUGUUUUGUGUAUCAGUUCAUAAACCAUGUGCCAUGGAAUCGCUACAUCAAAAAUCUCUUCCCUACUAUUUUGUCAUCUGUAUGACACAGCUGUCAAUGAAACUGGUAUACUUUUUUAUUUAUCACAAUUUCUUUAGCCAAUUUUGGUCUUUAAUGCAGGUCCGACAGACAAGUUCCUUACUUUCUCCCCCUUCCACUUGCCUCUUCCAUUUUUUGCAGUAAUGCUGCAAUUAGUUGGUUGUAAUUAUGAGUAGAGCAGACAUUUACAAAGAUUUAACCCUUUUAUUUUAUAUCCAAAAAGAUUGGAUUUUUAAUCAUUAGUAUAUUUGAGUUUAACCAUAAUAUUUGUUGUAAUAUUUAUUCUGUCUUUUCUGGUUGAUUAAACUGAAA